AUGCCUAAGGCACCCACAAAAAGCAAGUACCACGACCUGGAAGGGAACUUCUUUCUAUACAAUGUCAUCGGUGCUGUCCCAAAUAAACAUAGACGUCUGUCAGCGGUAGAAGAAUGGCUGAAGAAAGGCCCCUGCGUUAUCUCAUGGCAGAUUCCCGGGACCUCCGGGCCCAGCAGCGUGACGUCUGCUUUGGAGAACUACAUCAACCGAACUGUGGCUGUUAUUACUUCUGAUGGCAGAAUGAUUGUGGGAAUACUAAAAGGUUUUGACCAGACCAUUAACUUGAUUUUGGAUGAAAGCCAUGAGUGGGUGUUCAGCUCUUCACAGGGAGUAGAUCAAGUGGUGUUGGGGUUAUACAUUGUGAGGGGUGGUAAUGUAGCAGACAUUGGGGAAAUAGAUGAAGAGACAGAUUCUGCACUCGACUUGGGGAACAUCCGAGCAGAACCUCUAAACGUAGUGCACUGAAACCUCAGUGUGUAGUGAGAUGUGUGUAAAUCCUGUACAGAAGCGUCUAUCCUGAGAAUGAUGUUUAGG